GUGAGUCAUCGAAUCUUUGAACGCACAUUGCGCCUCUCGUGAGGGAGGCAUGCCUGUCUGAGCGUCGUUUAAACCCCUAGGCCCCCAUCCUUCUGGCUGGGUGACCUGUCUUGGGCCCUCGCCGCACGGCGUCGCCUGAAUGUCAUUGGUCUCAUCCGUGGACGAGUCCCUGUAGGGCGGGCCAUGGCUGGACCUUAAGCAACCUCUGAAUUUGACCUCAGAUCAGGUAGGAACACCGCCUGAACUUAAGCAUAUCAAUAAGCGGAGGA
rnacentral:misc_RNA from 1 species